CCAGUACUAGUUCUUCCUUUGAGUCCAAUACAAAUCCUACUUCUCCAAUCAACGUACACUCAUGGUAGACAAAAUUGGUUUCCUCGUACCCCAUUUUCUUACUCUCAUUUUGGUACAGUAGUCUUACACAAGUACUGCCAUUCCCAACAUUACAACCGAUCAAUCUGCUCCUGGCAUUAAAGGCUUCUAUUUCUUAUGAUCCUCACGAUGUUUUGGCAAAUAAUCGGUCAACCAGUAGUACUUCCGUUUGCAAUUGGGUUGGUAUCACACGUGGCUCUAGACAUCUCCGAGUCACAGCCUUGAACCUUUCUUACAUGGAUUUUGAUGGUACCAUUCCUCCACACAUUGGAAACCUCUCGUUUCUUGUUAGCCUAAUGAUCAGAAACAAUAGCUUUCACGGUUCAAUUCCCAACGAGUUGUCUCGUCUUCAUCGGUUGCGGUUUUUAAACUUGGGAUACAAUGAAUUCAACGGAGAAAUGUCAUCAUGGAUAGGGUUGCUAACCAAACUUCAAUAUUUGGCGCUGUUUGGUAACAACUUCUUAGGCGAACUCCCAGAAAUGGAGAACUUAACCAUGCUUACAAAGUUAAUUAAACCUUAGUCAAAACAACUUUGCAGGGACCAUCUGAUAAUCUCUGUACAAGUGCAAACAGCUACAGAUUCUAGAUUUGUGGAAAAACAAUUUCGAUGGAGUAGUACCCCAAGAAAUAGGGAACUUAAGCAUGCUUACAAAGUUAAGCCUCGGUAAUAACAACUUUGAAGGUAAUUUUAUUGUUGUUUUAAUUAGGUCCGUUCCUUUCAUUUGAAAGCACAAAAUAAUUUGACAAAACAUGAUGGUGGAAAGUACAAGAUUAUUUA